rnacentral:lncRNA from 1 species
ACUGGUGCAUUUCUUCGUGACGAUCUAUCAACGCCUUGUUAUUCAGUGUGCUGUUAGUGCAGUACUUUCCAGAAGGUACAGCCCAAUAAUCAAUAAAUAACUUGAGUUGCGGAAUGCAUUGAGAUCCUGUGUGGAAGUGCUGCACUGCUGGGAUCGUCAGAUAUCAUUGUCAGUCGCAGAACUUAUAGCAUCUAUCAGUGCGUGGAGCCAUUGAUCUUGGCCCUUCGAUGCCGCACCACCAGUGUAUGAUGUGAGGACCUACACAGAAGUUGCGACUGCGCGAGUAUGAAGCGUGGAUGCGCAGACCUGUUUCAAUAUGCUAAACGUCGCAG